rnacentral:misc_RNA from 1 species
GAUGAAGAACGUAGCGAAAUGCGAUAAGUAAUGUGAAUUGCAGAAUUCAGUGAAUCAUCGAAUCUUUGAACGCACAUUGCGCCCGCCAGUAUUCUGGCGGGCAUGCCUGUCUGAGCGUCAUUUCAACCCUCAAGCAACUUCUGCUUGGUGUUGGGGAUCGGCCGUCAAACGCCGCCCCCGAAAUCUAUUGGCGAUCUCGCUGUAGCUUCCUAUGCGUAGUAGUAACAUCUCGCAUCUGGAGAGCGGCGCGGUCAUGCCGUAAAACACCCAACUUCUCAGGUUGACCUCGGAUCAGGUAGGGAUACCCGCUGAACUUAAGCAUAUCAAUAAGCGGAGGA